CCUCCUUUCUAAGGAUGAGUGAAAGUAAAAUUUCACUCUAAAUAAUAUACAUCGGUAAUGUUGACCGUCCUCAUUUCUCUUCUUAAAAUAAUGUUUCCUUCUUGUAGGGCCGGUAGCUCAGUUGGUUAGAGCACACCCUUGAUAAGGGUGGGGUCGAAAGUUCGAGUCUUUCUCGGCCCACCAAAAACCUAAAUGGGGGAUUAGCUCAUCUGGGAGAGCGCCUGAUUUGCAUUCAGGAGGUAGCAGGUUCGAUCCCUGUAUCCUCCACCAGGAAACAUUUAGUUAUUAAAACUGUAAAUAAAAAUAAUUUAUAUCAAUAUCUAUAUCCGAACAUUAAAAGUUAUUAUUUAAUGUUCAAAAUAAAAAUUUGAUCACA
rnacentral:tRNA from 1 species